rnacentral:lncRNA from 1 species
UUUAAUUAAAGUGAAUUAAAUCAUUGGCUCCACCUGAUCCAUAUAACAAAUAUUGUUUGUCAACCAGUAUCAUUUGCUUUCUGUUGCUGUUAUAAUCACUAUGACCCAAGGCAAAUUGGUAGGAAAGGAUUUCUUUUGGCUUGUGUUUCCACAUUAUUGUUCAUUAUUGAAGAAACUCAGGACAGGAACUCAAACAGGGAAGGAACAUAGAAGUAGGAACUGCUUUAGAAGCCACAGGGAAGUACUACUGUUUGCUUGCUCCUCAUGGUUUGCUCAGCUUUUUUUCUUAUAGAGCCCAGGACCACUAGCCUAGGGAUGGUACCACCUAAAAUUGGCUGUCUUCUCACAUCAAUUACUAAUAAGCAAAGUGUUCUAGAGGCUUGCCUACAGCCUGACCUUUUAGAGACAUUUUCUUAAUUGAGGUUCUAAUUUUCAUGAUCAUAGCUGUGUAAAAAUGACAUAAAACCAGUGGAUAUUCAUUUUAUAAAACAGCCUUCACUCAGUUGUUUUUAGCAAAUGAUCAUUAGUCAAUACAUGAAUUAUUCUGAAUCAAGGAUAUGGAAAUUAAAUAAUUUAAGAUUAUAGUAAUGUAUAUUUUAGGUUGUAAAAGUUGAUAACAUGGGAAACCCAAGGCAAGAAAAAUUGAUUCCUACAGUGUAGUCUUAAAGGCACCUUAAACACAGCAGAAUAGUAGUCUUAAAUCUUAUGUGUGUUUUAUUUUAAGAUUUAUUUCCUUUUUAUAUGAGAACACUAUUGCUGUUUCCAGAUACACCAGAAGAGGAAAUCAAAUCCCUUUACAGAUGGUUGUGAGUCACCAUCUGGUUGCUGGGAAUUGAACUCAGGACCUUUGGAAGAGCAGUCAGUGCUUUAACCACUGAACCAUCUCACCAGCCCCAUAGGGUGUAUUUUAAACUUUAGCUGUUUGAUUCAACAAAAGUGAUUUAAAAUAUUGAAGUUAUUUUUUCUGUACUGCUUUGUGAUAAGGUGCUUCGGAAAGCCUAAUUUCUCGAGGCCUAUUGUAUUAAGUCUAAUUUCCUGAGGUCUUUCUUGUUUUUAAGAAAAAUUCUUAUUAUAUACUUCUUGCUCACCUAACCUCCAUCUGCCUCUUUAGUACCAUGAUUAAAGAUGUAUGCCAUCAAAACUACCUCAAUGAAUGUUUAAAAGAAAAGGACAAAAUUAAAAUGAUGAUACUUGCUAGAAAAUGAAUCAAGUAGGAAUCUCAUGAGUUAAAUAAAAUAAGUUGUCUUAGGAUUUCAGUUGCUGCAAAGAGGUACCCAUAGUACCAUGGCAACUUUUUCUUUUUUAAUUAAUUAUUUAUUUUUAUCUACAUCACAAUUGUUGCCCCUCUCCCAGUCUUACCUCGAAGAGUUAUUUUACCCAUUCCAUGUCCCCUUUGCCUCUGAGAGGGUGCCCCUUCUUCCCCUCUCCACAUGCCCCUUCCCUGGGGUCAUCAGGUCUCUACAAGAUUAGUUAGACACAUUCUCUCCUACUGAGGUCAUACAAGGCAGCCCUAUGUUACAUAUGUGCUAGGGGCCUUAGACCAGCCCCUCUAUGCUCUUUGGUUAGUAGCUCAAUCUCUGCAUACUAUUGAUCUUCCUGUGGGGUUGCCAUUCCUUUCAGGGCCUUCAGUCUUUUUGGUUUUUCGAGACAGGGUUUCUCUGUAUAGCCCUGCCUGUCCUGGAACUCACUUUGUAGACCAGACUGGCCUUGGAACUCAGAAAUUCUCCUGCCUCUGCCUCCCAAGUGCUGGGAUUAAAGGUGUGUGCCACCACGCCCGGCUUUAGUGCCUUCAAUCUUUCUCCCCAACUUGUCCAUAAGUGUUCCCAACAGAUACAGGUCUCUCUCAGUCAACUGCUACAUAGAGCCUCUCAGAGGACAACCAUGCUAGACUCCUUCCUGUCUGAAAACACAUCAGUAACAGUUUCAGGGGUUGGUGCCUCCCCAUGGGAUGGUUCCUAAGUUGGGCCAUUUCUUCAGUCUCUACUCCAUUUUUGCCCCUGCAUUUUUUUUUUUUUUAAAGACAGGAACAAUUUUUGGUAGAAAGUUUUGAAGGUAGGUUGGUGUCUCCAUUCCUCCACCAGAGGUUCUGUCUGACUACUGGAGGUGGGCUCUUUCAGGUUCCAUAUCUUCUGUUGGGCAUUUUGCCUAAGGUCACCCAGAGUGAGUCCGGAGAGCCUCCCCCAUCCCAGGUCUCACAGGAAGCUGUGUAUUUCCAUUCUUACCUCUGGCCCUCGGUGGCCUCUUUCCUGUCUCCCAUCAUACCUGAUCUUGCCCUUUCUCUUUCCCUCCCCUCUUCUACCCAGUUUCCUUUUUCCUUCCAAUUCCUAUGAUUAUUUUGUUUCCCCUUCUAAGUGGGAUUUAAACAUCCUCACCUGGGCUUUUCUUCUUAUUUAGCUUCUUAGGGUCUGUCAGUUUUAGCAUGGGUAUGCUGUACUUUAUGGCUAAUACCCACUUAUCAGUGAGUACAUACCAUGCAUGUCCUUUUGGGCCUGGAUUACCCAAUUGAGGGUGAUAUUUUCUCAGUCCAUUCAUUUGCCUGCCAAAUUAAUGAUGUCCUUGUUUUUAAUAUGCAAAUAGUAUUCUGCUGUGUAAAUGAAUCACACUUUCAUAAUUUUUUCUUUAUUUGAGGGACAUAUGGGUUGCUUCCAGUUUCUGACUAUUAUGAAUAAGGCUGCUGUUAACAUAGUGGAGGUUGUAUGUGAUAUGGUGGAACAUCUUUUGGGUAUAUGCCAGGAAUGAUCUAGCUGGCUCUUCAGGUACAACUAUUUACAAGUUUUUGAGAAUUCCCAGAUUGAUUUCCAAAAUGGUUGUACAACCUUGCAAUCCCAUCAGCAAUGGAGGAGUGUUCUUUGUUUUCCACAUCCUUGCUAGCAUCUGCUGUUACAUGAAUUCUUGAUCUUAGCCAUUCUCAUUUGUGUAAGGUGGAAUCUCAGGGUUGUUUUGACUUGUAUUUCUCUGCUGAUUAAUGAUGUUGAAAAUUUCUUUAAAUGUUUCUUAGUCAUUUGAGAUUCCUCUGUUGAAAAUUCUUAGGAUUCUCUGUUUUAGCUCUCUAUCCCUUUAUAAUUGGAUUAUUUGGUUUUCAGGAGUCUUCUUGAGUUUUUUAUAUAUAUUUUGGAUAUUAGCCCUCUAUUGGAUAUAGGGCUAGUAAAGAUCUUUUUCCAGGCUAUGUAGGCUGUGGCAACUCUUAAAAGAAAAUGUUUAAUUGUGACUGGAUUUAUAAUACACAGGUUUUUUUUUGGUUUGUUUUUCCAUGUCAUCUUGGCAGGAAGCAUUGCAUAUAGGCAGACAUAGUACUUGAGAAGAAGCAUAGAGUUCUUCAUGUGUUUUUUUUUUUUUAAAGAUUUAUUUAUUUAUUAUAUGUAAGUACACUGUAGCUGUCUUCAAACAUUCCAGAAGAGGGAGUCAGAUCUCAUUACAGAUGGUUGUGAGCCACCAUGUGGUUGCUUGGAUUUGAACUCUGGACCUUCGGAAGAGCAGUUGGGUGCUCUUCCCACUGAACCAUCUUACCAGCCCCUCUUCAUGUGGUUUGGAAUGCAGCUGGAAGAGACAGUGAGGCACUGUAUCUAGCAUGAGCUUCUGAAACCUCAAAGUCCAUCCCUAGUUACACAUUUCCUCCAACAAGUGCACAGCUCCUAAAAGUGCUUGUUCCUAUGAGACAAUGGAACUAUUUCCACUCAAACUACCACAUAUGUCAAAAUCAAACAGAAAUAUCACAUCUUCUCUCAUAUAAGGAUGCUGAACUUAAACUCAGUGUUUAAACAAAUAUUUUUGCCAUAAAACUAAAAUGAAGAUUAUGAAAUUGGGUAAAAGAGAUGUUAAUGGAGCCAGGACAUAGAGAUGGUAAUGGAUUACAUGUAAAAGG